rnacentral:rRNA from 1 species
UACGAAGGGGGCUAGCGUUGUUCGGAAUUACUGGGCGUAAAGCGCGCGCAGGCGGUUUUGUAAGUUGGGGGUGAAAUCCCCGGGCUCAACCCGGGAAUGGCCUUCAAGACUGCAAAGCUAGAGGACGAGAGAGGUGAGUGGAAUUCCCAGUGUAGAGGUGAAAUUCGUAGAUAUUGGGAAGAACACCGGUGGCGAAGGCGGCUCACUGGCUCGUUUCUGACGCUGAGGCGCGAAAGCGUGGGGAGCAAACAGGAUUAGAUGCCCUGGUAGUCCACGCCGUAAACGAUGAGUGCCAGGUGUCGGGGGGCUUUGCCCUUCGGCGCCGCAGCUAACGCCUUAAGCACUCCGCCUGGGGAGUACGGCCGCAAGGUUAAA